UACGUAGGGUGCGAGCGUUAAUCGGAAUUACUGGGCGUAAAGCGUGCGUAGGCGGUUCGUUAAGUGCGUCGUGAAAGCCCCGGGCUCAACCUGGGAAUGGCGAUGGAAACUGGCGGGCUGGAGUAUGGCAGAGGGGGGUGGAAUUCCGCGUGUAGCAGUGAGAUGCGUAGAGAUGCGGAGGAACACCGAUGGCGAAGGCAGCCCCCUGGGCCAAUACUGACGCUCAGGCACGAAAGCGUGGGGAGCAAACAGG
rnacentral:rRNA from 1 species